GGGGGUGUAGCUCAGUGGUAGAGUGCUUGCCUAGAAAGUGGGAGACUCUGGGUUGCACCUCCA
rnacentral:tRNA from 1 species